rnacentral:rRNA from 1 species
UACGUAGGGUGCGAGCGUUGUCCGGAAUUAUUGGGCGUAAAGAGCUCGUAGGCGGUCUGUCGCGUCGAUCGUGAAAACUUGGGGCUUAACCCUGAGCUUGCGGUCGAUACGGGCAUGACUGGAGUUCGGCAGGGGAGACUGGAAUUCCUGGUGUAGCGGUGAAAUGCGCAGAUAUCAGGAAGAACACCCGUGGCGAAGGCGGCUCUCUGGGACGGUACUGAUGCUGAGACGCGAAAGCGUGGGGAGCGAACAGG